UACGGCCACAUCAAGUUGAAGCACCGAUUCCCGUACUAUCAACGAAGUUAAGCAGCGUCGCGCCUGGUCAGUAUCUAGAUGGGUGAUUUCUUGGGAAUAUCAUGUGUUGUAAG